UUCGAUGAUACGCGAGGAACCGUUACCUGGGCUCGAACGUAAGAUGACUGUAGGUGAAAGCUUACAUCUCUUCGGAGCAUUUUACGAGGUGCUGCAUGGUUGUCGUCAGCUCGUGCCGUGAGGUGUCGGGUUAAGUCCCAUAACGAGCGCAACCCUACCUUUAGUUGCCAUCAGGUAAUGCUGGGGACUCUAAAGGAACUGCCUACGCAAGUAGUGAGGAAGCGGGGAUGACGUCAAAUCAGCACGGCCCUUACGUCCAGGGCUACACACGUGCUACAAUGGCCGAUACAGAGGGCAGCUACCUGGUGACAGGAUGCAAAUCUCCAAAGUCGGUCUCAGUUCGGAUCGGAGUCUGCAACCCGACUCCGUGAAGUUGGAUUCGCUAGUAAUCGCGCAUCAGCCAUGGCGCGGUGAAUACGUUCCCGGGCCUU
rnacentral:rRNA from 1 species